rnacentral:rRNA from 1 species
UACGUAGGGGGCAAGCGUUGUCCGGAAUCAUUGGGCGUAAAGCGCGCGUAGGCGGCCCGGUAAGUCCGCUGUGAAAGUCCAGGGCUCAACCCUGGAAAGCCGGUGGAUACUGGAUGGCUAGAGUACGGAAGAGGCGAGUGGAAUUCCUGGUGUAGCGGUGGAAUGCGCAGAUAUCAGGAGGAACACCAAUAGCGAAGGCAGCUCGCUGGGACGUUACUGACACUGAGGCGCGAAAGCGUGGGGAGCGAACAGG